rnacentral:rRNA from 1 species
GACGAACGCUGGCGGCGUGCUUAACACAUGCAAGUCGAACGCUGAAGCUCAGCUUGCUGGGUGGAUGAGUGGCGAACGGGUGAGUAACACGUGAGUAACCUGCCCUCUUCUUUGGGAUAACGCCCGGAAACGGGUGCUAAUACUGGAUAUUCACUGAUUCUCGCAUGGGGGUUGGUGGAAUGGUUUUUUCUGGUGGGGGAUGGGCUCGCGGCCUAUCAGCUUGUUGGUGGGGUGAUGGCCUACCAAGGCUUUGACGGGUAGCCGGCCUGAGAGGGUGACCGGUCACAUUGGGACUGAGAUACGGCCCAGACUCCUACGGGAGGCAGCAGUGGGGAAUAUUGCACAAUGGGCGAAAGCCUGAUGCAGCGACGCCGCGUGAGGGAUGGAGGCUUUCGGGUUGUAAACCUCUUUCGCUCAUGGUCAAGCCGCAGCUUUGGGUUGUGGUGAGGGUAGUGGGUAAAGAAGCGCCGGCUAACUACGUG